GACGAACGCUGGCGGCGUGCCUAAUACAUGCAAGUCGAACGCAGUGGGGACGGGUGAGUAACACGUGGGUAACCUCCCAUCAGAGGGGAUAACACUUGGAAACAGGUGCUAAACCGAUACUGAUGGAUGAACCCGCGUUGCAUUAGCUAGUUGGGGAGGUAACGGCUCACCAAGGCCACGAUGCAUAGCGUACCGAAGAGGGUGAUCGGCCAAUCUGGGACUGAUACACGGCCCAGACUCCAACGAGAGGCAGCAGUAGGGAAUCUUCGGCAAUGGACGAAAGGCUGACCGAGCAACGCCGUGUGAUUGAAGAAGGUUUUCGGAUCGUAAUACUCUGUUGUUAGAGAAGCGGUAUCUAGCCAGAAAGCCACGGCUAACGACGUGCCAGCAGCCGCGGUAAUUC
rnacentral:rRNA from 1 species